GACGAACGCUGGCGGCGUGCCUAAUACAUGCAAGUCGAACGCAGUGGGGACGGGUGAGUAACACGUGGGUAACCUCCCAUCAGAGGGGAUAACACUUGGAAACAGGUGCUAAACCGAUACUGAUGGAUGGACCCGCGGUGCAUUAGCUAGCUGGUGAGGUAACGGAUCACCAAGGCCACGAUGCAUAGCCGACCUGAGAGUGGGAUCUGCAACGCUGGGACUGAUGAACGGCCCAGACGCCUACGGGAGGCAGCAGUAGGGAAGCUUCGGCAAUGGACGAAAGUCUGACCGAGCAACGCCGCGUGUGUGAAGAAGUUUUUCGGAUCGUAAAGCUCUGUAGUUAAGGAAGCGGUACAUAACCAGAAAGGGACGGCUAACUACGUGCAAGCAGCCGCGGUAUUC
rnacentral:rRNA from 1 species